rnacentral:tRNA from 1 species
CGGGAAGUAGUUCAGUUUGGCAGAAUACCUGGUUUGGGACCAGGGGGUCAGAGGUUCAAAUCCUCUCUUCCCGA